rnacentral:rRNA from 1 species
UACGUAGGGUGCAAGCGUUAAUCGGAAUUACUGGGCGUAAAGCGUGCGCAGGCGGUUAUGCAAGACAGAGGUGAAAUCCCCCGGGCUUAACCUGGGAACUGCAUUGGUGACUGGCAGGCUUUGAGUGUGGCAGAGGGAGGUAGAAUUCCACGUGUAGCAGUGAAAUGCGUAGAGAUGUGGAGGAAUACCGAUGGCGAAGGCAGCCCCCUGGGAUAACACUGACGCUCAUGCACGAAAGCGUGGGGAGCAAACAGG